GACGAACGCUGGCGGCGUGCUUAACACAUGCAAGUCGAACGGAAAGGCCCUGCUUUUGUGCGGUGCUCGAGUUGCCAACGGGUGAGUAACACUUUUGUACCCUGUCCUUUACUUUGGCUUAACUUCAUGACACUGGGGCUCAUACCGGAUAGGAUCUCCUGCUGCAUGGUGGGCGUUGGAUAGUUUCGGCGGUUGGGGAUGGACUCGCGGCUUAUCAGAUUGUUGGUGGGGUAGUGGCUUACCAAGACUUUGACGGGUAGCCGGCCUGAGAGGAGGACCUGCCAAGCUGGAACUGAGAUACGACCCAGACUAGUACGGGACGCAGCAGUGGAGAAGAGAGCACAAGGGGAGGAAGCCAGAUGCAGCAAAGCCGCGUGGGGGAUGACGGGCUUCGGGUAGUAUAGCGAUGCCGCCUGAGAUGAAGAGAGAGUGACGGUAAUGGGUAAAGAAGCACCGGCUAACUACGUG
rnacentral:rRNA from 1 species